AAACGUCUUCUAAGUCUUUCCUCAUGGAGAACUGGGAAGAUGAGGGACUUGGUGGCUGUUUAAAAUUAAGCCGCCCCCUGAAAUAAAAGCCGGAGAGCUCUCCCCUGACAAGGAAGCCGACGGGAAGGAAGGUGCACGGAGCUACCAGGAUAAGUACCUGCACCAGCAAAAGAGACGGCCACCACGCCACCAGAAAGGGGACAGGGCUAUAAAGGGGAA